rnacentral:rRNA from 1 species
GACGAACGCUGGCGGCGUGCUUAACACAUGCAAGUCGAACGGUGACGAGGAGCUUGCUCCUCUGAUCAGUGGCGAACGGGUGAGUAACACGUGAGCAACCUGCCCCAGACUCUGGGAUAACAGUUGGAAACAGCUGCUAAUACCGGAUACGAGACGGAGAGGCAUCUCUACCGUCUGGAAAGUUUUUCGGUCUGGGAUGGACUCGCGGCCUAUCAGCUAGUUGGUGAGGUAAUGGCUCACCAAGGCGACGACGGGUAGCCGGCCUGAGAGGGCGACCGGCCACACUGGGACUGAGACACGGCCCAGACUCCUACGGGAGGCAGCAGUGGGGGAAUAUUGCACAAUGGGCGAAAGCCUGAUGCAGCGACGCCGCGUGAGGGAUGAAGGCCUUCGGGUUGUAAACCGUCUUUCAGCAGGGAAGAAGCGAAAGUGACGGUACCUGCAGAAGAAGCACCGGCGUAACUACGUAGCCAGCAGCCGC